AUACGUAGGUGACAAGCGUUAUCCGGAUUUACUGGGCGUAAAGGGCGUGUAGGCGGUCUUGCAAGUCAGAAGUGAAAUUCCUGAGCUCAACUCGGGCGCUGCUUCUGAAACUGCAGGACUUGAGUGCUGGAGGGGAUAGCGGAAUUCCUAGUGGAGCGGUAAAAUGCGCAGAUAUUAGGAAGAACACCGGUGGCGAAGGCGGAUAUCAGUGCAGUAACUGGAGGUGAGGCCCGAAGGGGUGCGGAGGAAAAAGGUUGAGAAACACUGAGAUUCCACGCCGUAAACGAGGAAUACUAGGUGUAGGGGGUAUCGACUCCCUCUGUGCCGCAGUUAACACAAUAAGUAUUCCGGCUGGGGAGUACGGCCGCAAGGUUGAAACUCAAAUGAAUGGACGGGG
rnacentral:rRNA from 1 species